AACGAACGCUGGCGGCAGGCUUAACACAUGCAAGUCGAGCGCCCCGCAAGGGGAGCGGCAGACGGGUGAGUAACGCGUGGGAAUCUACCGUGCCCUAAGGAAUAGCUCCGGGAAACUGGAAUUAAUACCUUAUACGCCCUUCGGGGGAAAGAUUUAUCGGGGUAUGAUGAGCCCGCGUUGGAUUAGCUAGUUGGUGGGGUAAAGGCCUACCAAGGCGACGAUCCAUAGCUGGUCUGAGAGGAUGAUCAGCCACAUUGGGACUGAGACACGGCCCAAACUCCUACGGGAGGCAGCAGUGGGGAAUAUUGGACAAUGGGCGCAAGCCUGAUCCAGCCAUGCCGCGUGAGUGAUGAAGGCCCUAGGGUUGUAAAGCUCUUUCACCGGUGAAGAUAAUGACGGUAACCGGAGAAGAAGCCCCGGCUAACUUCGUGCCAGCAGCCGCCGUAACAC
rnacentral:rRNA from 1 species